rnacentral:rRNA from 1 species
UACGUAGGUGGCAAGCGUUGUCCGGUAUUAUUGGGCGUAAAGCGCGCGCAGGCGGUUAUGUAAGUCUGAUGUUAAAGCCCGGGGCUCAACCCCGGUUCGCAUUGGAAACUGUGUAACUUGAGUGCAGAAGAGGAAAGUGGUAUUCCACGUGUAGCGGUGAAAUGCGUAGAUAUGUGGAGGAACACCAGUGGCGAAGGCGCCUUUCUGGUCUGUAACUGACGCUGAGGCGCGAAAGCGUGGGGAGCAAACAGG